AGAGUGUGAUGUGAAAGCUGCGAGAGAGUAAACUUUCCCUCUAAAACGUCUUUUACUGUUGUUCAUCUCUAAAACGAAGGAGAUCCAAGAGUCAGGUCAGUUCUAGAUUGAAACAUAUUGGUCAACCUUUCUGUUUGGAGUUUGCAUGUUGUCCUUGUGGCUGCAUCACUUUUCUCCAGGUGUUGUGGCGUCCUUCUACAGUCCAAAUACAUUCAUGGCAGAUUAAUUGGGGAUUCUAAACUUGCCACUAGUGCGAGUAUAAAUCUGUUUUUACCCAGUGUCUGCUGGGAAAUGGUCCAGUGUUCCGCUACAGGUUAAAGCAGGUAUAUAAUGGAUGACUGGAUGAAAUAUUAGCAAGGGGCUUUACAAUCUGUACAUUAUACAUGAGUCUUUGUCCGUAGAUCCUUGAUUUAAAUCAGGAAAAACUCCCCCAAAAAAAACUCUCUAAGGGAAGAGAACAGGGAAGAAGCCUCAGAGAGAUAAACUGUGGACAGACAUGAUGAACAAUAAGUGCUGCACAGAAGCGUAAUAUAGCAGAUUAACAAUAUAGAUACAUACAUACACUAUCAUUCAAAAAUAUGGGGUCACCCAGGCAAUUUCAUGUUUUCCAUGAAAACUCACGGUUUUAUUCAUGCGCUAGCAUAAUUGCACAAGGGUUUCCUAAUCAUCAAUUAGCCUUUCAACACCAUUAGCUAACACAAUGUAGCAUUAGAACACAGGAGUGAUGGUUUCUGGAAAUGUUCCUCUGUACCCCUAUGGAGAUAUUCCAUUAAAAAUCAGCCGUUUCCAGCUAGAAUAGGUAUUGAAUUGUAUUUAGCACUUAGUUCAGUGAAUCCUCACGUACAUUACGUUUCUAUUAGAGGUGCAGAGUCUCCAUGCAAUGCGUCAGGAGCUUUGUCUACUGCCAUCCUCAUCAUAAUGUGUGGAACUCCAACACAAACAUAACAAGCUCAAAAUCUACUCUAAUGCAUGUGUUCCCUAGUAACUAAAUGUUCUACAUACUCUGAUAGUCACCCAAACAUAUGUAAGAUAUUGUAUUUAUUCAUUUGCAUAUGGACAUAUCCAGUCUAAUAAAACAAAGAAAUGAGAUGAGUAUAUGCAUGUACUGUCCAGUAGAAAGGUGAGGCCAAAAUAUAAGACCCGUUGACUAUGUAAAUGUGGCCUUAAAAAAGAAAUGUAUAUCAUUUUGCAGCUGUUGGCCUCACAGGGUUAACUAAACCUGUCAGUAUCGCUUAUCUACUAAUGAGAGGAACCAUUUCAGGAAGGGUCAGAUUCUUUGCAUUCACACGCUAAUAAAGGGUGGGAGGGUCAGCAGGGACUCGUACACUGGUUCCCACUGUAUCUCAACCCUCCUACAGUGCAGCACUGUGUGAAAAAUAACCCUGUACGGAUUGGAGUUCCUCUUUGUUUGCUCUGAGGUGUACAAAUGUUUUCUUUGGCCUCCUCAGCUCAGCCCACAUGGCAGCAGUCUGGAGACGUUUUCCCGCCAAAACACAUGGCAGCGAAGGCAGCACAGACGAGCAGAGGGAGGCUUACCAAAUCGAAGACUGCUAGGUUAUUUAGUUGUCAAAUGUAAUGCUCAGGGCUGCACAGUGGAGUAGUGGUUAGCACUUUCGCCUUGCAGCAAGAAGGUCCCUGGUUCGCGUCCCGGCUUUCCCGGGAUCUUUCUGCGUGGAGUUUGCAUGUUCUCCCUGUGCAUACGUGGGUUCUCUCUGGGUACUCCAGCUUCCUCCCACAGUCCAAAAAAUAUGCUGAGGUUAAUUGAUCAUUCUAAAUUGCCCGUAGGUGUGAAUGUGAGAGUGAUUGUUUGUCUAUAUAUGUAGCCCUGCGACAGACUGGCGACCUGUCUAGGGUGUCCCCUGCCUUCGCCCGAGUCAGCUGGGAUAAACUCCAGCCCCCCCGCGACCCUAGUGAGGAUUAAGCGGUGUAUAGAUAAUGGAUGGAUGGAUGGAUGUAAUGCUCAGACAAGUGCAUAAAGUCUGACAGAGGAUGUUUCACCUUGAUGUAGUUCCAAAAAUGUCCUUUUUCACUUCAAGCCUCAUUGUCUGUUGUUUAACCCGAUGACUGCAGCUUUAAUGAAGGAAAACAUCAUUUUUUCCCCCUCCACUCUGUUCAGUCUUUUUUUCCACAGACCAGCGUUGGUUUGGUUUGAUUUUAUGCUCCAACUUUUCACUAUUUAUCAUUUCAGCGGUUACAGUUGGAUCGGUGGGUUCAAAGACGUCAAAUCUUCAGCCUCUUCCCUUUUUUUCAGUUAUGUAACCUCAUUGAUGCUGUUUUCUCAGUUUUUUUUCAAAGCUUUUCUGCUGUUGCUGAUGCUCAUCUCUUGGCUGGGACACUAAUACUUAUUUAUGGCUGUGGAAGUUAGAUAAAUAAAUGAACAAAAGCAAAGGAAUUUCGGUGAAUGCAACUACCUCAUACGGGUGCAAAAAUAACCACCUCACUUCUGUGCACUACCACUCACAAUGCAUAUAUUACUGCUGCUAGUACAAUUGUGUUUUUAUGUAGAGUUUUAGAGUUUGAGAAUGUUUUAAAGCGUAUAUUGUUUGUGCACUUAAGGAGUGGCUCUUUAAAUUCCGUUGUACUUUGUAUAAUGACAAUAAAGGCUUUCUAUUCUAGGAAUCACGCAAAAAAAUACUGCUGUUUGCCCGCUUGGGAUAGUAACCACAACCUUGCAAGUAGACCAUAUAUUCAUAAGCAUAUCUCCCUUUUGUUUCUGCUUUUCCUUCUGAAUAUUAACACCAACUGAACCCUGUGCAGCCAAGUCAAACACCAGAUAACCAGUAGCAGGGAUGAAAAUGAAUACCUUAACAAUCAAUGGAUCUUGCAGUCAGAAGUCAAGUUGUACAUUUGGCUUUUCUACCCAACGGCUUCAAACAAAACAAGAAAAGCAGCUCAACACUCUUCCAAAUGUAUUUCCAUCAGCCAGGCACCAAAAGCUAGUAGACAUCCUUAAUAUAUGUACGUAAUGACCACCUUCUGACCAAGCAUAUCAUCAAUCUGAGCAUAUUUCUCUCAUAUUUAGAUAACUGCUGUAAUUUACUUCUAUAAGCCCUGUUAUCUUUUGAAUUAUUGGUUUACAGUUCUGGCUCUUGAAGAACUUGAACUGGCUUUAGACUAUGAACAGAGCAUCUGUGAACUAUUAUAUCAAAACAUUCUUCCCACAAAGUUUGCUACUCAGAGAAAAAAAAAAACAAAGUUUGGAGUUCAGAUUUUUACCAAGUAUGACCAAAUCUGGACACACAUUCUGCUAAGAGUAAUUUAUAUUUUUAUAAGAUUUUACUUUAUUCACAGUUUCUUUCUGACUCCACCAACAACACACUGAGUACAAUUCAUCUUCAUCAGAAACUGUACAAUCAGGACACUAAUCAUUCCUUCACUUUCACUCUCUAGAGCAGCUUGAUGGUCCCACUAAAUUACCAUUUUGUUUUCAUUAGAUUAUUUUUUUUUAAUUGCUAAACACUAGCAGUGAUUCAGAACUCUGGAAUCAGACUUAGAAGAUCUUGAAUAUUUACAACCAAACCUAAAACUGUUACAUUAAUCCGAAUACACCGACUGCACAGAUCUCCUCAAUAAACAUGUAUGCUUUACAACAAAAAGUCUGCACAAACCCAAAUCAGACGAUUCUUUGAACUACGAUGUGAGAAACUCCUCUGCAGUGUUGCAUUAGCAGUGAAGUGAGCUGAAACUCCUCCUCAAAAACAGUUUUGAGGAGGAUGUGUGAGAUUUCAGAGAUUCCUGCCAGUUCAGUGUAUGUGCACCAAACAGAAAAUACAUCCAGGUCCUUCAAUGGGGUCAGUGACAGAUGUUGAUCUGUGCAUCUGUGCCUUGACAACACAGAAACUGCAGGUUCACCAGAGGUUUUAAGGGUAGAUUUCUCAUUAUUAGAUGCAUUACAAGAAUGAAUUUCAAUUAGAGGCUUCUUUAACUCCUCUCCAGUGAGGACAGUUACAGGAAGUCAUUCCUGCCCGCUGCAAUAAUGCUGUACACUGCCGUAGAGAGAAGACUUGUCUUUGCACAUUCAACUUUAAUUUUCACUUUGGGAAUUUCAACUUAUCUCAUCUUUAGUCUUUGUUGUUUUGUUUUCUUUUUAUCUAGUAUGAUUUUUUAAAAUUGUGUUUUUUAUGAGGGUUUCGUGACAUGCAAAUUACUGCUGCAACAUUACAGUUUCUCUCAGGGGAUCAGUAAAGUACUCUAGCUUAAGUAUAUUAGAAUAACAAAACAUGUUGAUAUAUAAAAAAGAUUAUCCUGUAAAUGUAAAACAGACUGGAUCUGUACACUGCUGAAUCUGGUAUUCUCCGGGGGCACCAACACUUGGCUGGUCUUGAACCAAGAACUACAGAAACUGGGGCUGGGAUUACUAAUCCAGAGAAGAAGAAGAAAAAAAAACAGAUUCAGUAUUGAUGUUAAAAUUUGAAGUAGUAGUGUAUCAAAAACCCGAUAUAGUCAUUAUCUGCCAGAUUUUUGACUGCUAAAGAAGUUUUAAUACGGCUAGCUGGUGUUUGUAAGUGGCUUUUGUAAUCCCUGUCUUUGAUAUUCACCCUUUGAAAUGGCAUUUUUUUCUUUUAUAUUUUUUAACUAAUAGUUGAACGCUGGACAGCAUACAUAAAUGUUUUUAAAAGCACUGCUCCCUCUAAGCUGCGUACGUGCGCAAUUGCGCACUGCUGACACGGUCUCCGCGCACAGAAAUUCUGCGCUGCGCACAAAAAAAAAUCCAACCAAAAUUGUAAAUAAAAUAAACACGUAACAAUUCAUUCUGUGCUAUUUUUCAAUGUGAGUCAGUUAGUGACCGGUGACUGGCUGCUGCAGCCAAUGAUGCGAUUCACAUACGUAUUUACCAUAGACUGUAUAUAAUGGUAUUUACGCAGCUAAUCAACGUCAGGUGUCCUUAUGUGCAGCCAUCGUUGUUGUCAUAGAUAUGAAUGAGUAGAUAGGACACGCCCCUUUGAGCUGCGGCUACGGCGAGGCUAAGCUAGUGGGGGCAAGGUUUCAGUGCAUUCCGUUGAUUUACACGGCGUGAAAACGGAAACAACAAGUAUGCCGGCUCACUGUGCUGCAUACAGUUACACACUGCGUCGUACGAUUGAGACAAGCAAACUUGGAAUGACUUUUCAUAGGUUUCCCAGAGACUGUGGGUUGAGGAGGAAUUGGAAGUUUGUCGGCUUAGACCUGGUGUCAUUCCAUCAGUGUUAAACUUCCCGGCUCAUCUUGGAAGAGUACGUGCCAGAAAGACCACGACCAAGCAGCCUUGAGAUCUUAGGCAGCGUCUCCCUCAGGUCCCUCUCUAUCUCCCCACACAUCCACCAACCACUGGAACACAUCUGCAAAGUUCUGCCAGGCCAGCUCAGCUUCCCCUCAGAAGAAGUGGUGCCACCUGCCAGAUGAAGGAGCCUUUUGAGAGGCAGCUGGCAUCGUGAUUGGACUGUACUUUGGUCUGUUCCAAUCCAGCUUCAGCUCCAGAGACGGCAGGCGGGACGAGUCAACGGAGGCCGGAUGGACGAAGGCAUGCAGCUGAGUACAAUCCAGAAAACAACAGAGGAGGAGUGCAGCAUCCCAGGGCCAGAACAGAGUAGCAUCAUAUGUCUCUUAGAAAACAUCAUAGUAUAGCCUUUGGUAUGAAAAAAACACCAUCAUAUACAUCGUAGAUUGUACAAAUAAUAAGUCAAAGGAAAGAGACAUACAUUGUAGAAUUGUAGUAACUGUGGGCUGACUGAUUUACUGAAUAUCAGUAUUUUAUUUUUUACUGAUUUACGGUAAUAAAUACAUUUAAAAAUGGCGCUACUUUGGCUCUGAACCUUUAUCUACCUGUGGUUGCUCUGUCUUCUGGAGUGAUUUGAUUGGUUAUACGUAACGAAUAAAACUCCUUUAACUUUACAUCUGUAAACAAAACGAAAACGUAUCAACAAAGUUUUCUGUCAGAGUUUGUGUUCUUCUAAGUUUAACUCAAGAUUUUAAAUACUUUCAUUUACUGCAAAUGAAUAUCUACUCCAAAUGUCUCACAAAUAAUCAUUAUCAGCCUUAAAAACCCACAAAACACCCCUCUAUACUCGACCACACUUAGUACAGUUCGGUUCCCCCUUCUAUAAAUCUGCUUGGAAUCGUCCACUUCCUGUUUGUCAAAGUGGCCUUCUACCUGGACAGGUUUUGUUGGAGCUCAUGCAACAAACAUUUUGGGUAACUGCACUUUAAUAUGGAUGGAUGACACUGAAUUAGAGUCUGUUUUAAUGAGACUGAGUUAAGAUGUGUAGCUCUGUCAUUAAAUAGGAAAUUAUUUCUCAGAAUUCACAGAGAAAAGUCUGAAAUGUUUGCUAGGUUAGCAUCCCACAUGUUCUUUGGCUCAGCUAAAGCUAACUCUCUCCAACUUCUGGAUCUCUUGAGUUGCUUGUUGUUAAAUUAUCUUGCUAGAGGUGCUGAAGCUCAGAAAGUCUGAGAUGUUUGUUCAAAAUAAGCUCAUUCUCAAGUCCUAUCUGAACUGUCUUCUUUUGUUUUAACUUUCCCUAAACUUAAGAGUUAAUGACAGAGCAGCACAUCCAGAGUCAGUCUCAUUUAUGUAGAGAUUAAUCUUCAGUGUCAUUCAUUGAUGUUAAAGUGCAGUUUUUCAAAUGUUUGUUGCACAUGCUCCCGACCAAAGCAGUCCAGGUGGAAGAUGAUGUGAAGAGAAAGCUCCAGAGGAUGAAUAUCACACAUUUACAUUGGAAAUAAAUGUCCUUUAAUUAGACAUUGUCAUGCAAAAGUUGGAUUUCCCUUUAAUGAUGUUCAAAUCUUUGUUGAGUGUUUUGUUGAUGUUGGUUUCUAAAUGUUUUCUGACACUCGGCCCCAAAGAUUAAAACUUUUCACGGCUCACAAGCUGCAACAAUUCACACAUUAUCAACUAUCUUUCUGACUAAACUAAGAUAAAAAGUGAAAAACUGCCUGAUUCCUGCAUCAUGAAUGUAAAUCUUUUUGGUUUUUAUGACGGUAAACUGAAUAUAUUUGGGCUUGACAUCUUAUAAACCAAAACAAGAAAUGAAUUACUGGAGAAAACAAUCAACAGAUUAAUGGACAAAGAAAAUGUGUUUUCCAACAUAUAUGGCUGAAUUACUCCAACGUUACAAAAUACAUACACUUUUAAUUCAAUUUUAUUUAUAUAACCCCAAUUACAGGUCAAAUUGUCUCAAGAUGCUUUAUUUUUUAUACUUUUUUGUCAUAUUUAAAAUAUGACAAAGUAAGAAAUUUAGACCUCUUGACUAAUCCAAUUUAUUAUUUAGUUUUUAAGAGACUAAUUGACAAUUCAGACUUUCUCCACUAAAACUAAUAAACAUGAGGUCAAAUAGAAGGAACAGUUUUAAAUACUGCAGUCCCACGAUGACAAGAAUAAAGUUCCUCAACAAAAACUUAAUCUGCUGGUGGAUUCCAUUAAAGUCCUAAGAAAUGAUAAUAAAGUGUGAUACUAAAGGUUUGUGGUGCUAAAAAUCUCAAAGAUAUCAAGUUGAACAUCUGGAUGGAGGUUGAUAAAAGUUGACCUUCUUUCAUUUCUCUGGAGCUGACUCCAUGGAUUUUAUGGAUGGUGGUUAAAGACCUGCUCUUCUAGUGGUCUUCCUUCUAGUCGCUGUAAAAAGUCAGUCCAUCCUGGCUGACUUCAACACCUCUUCAUGACAACUUGUUCUGCCUCCGACCUCGUGGAAACUCAAGAAACUCGGGGAAACCUGUCGAGACUCAAGGAACUCAUCGAGACUCGAAGAACUCGUCGGGCGGGGGAAGGUGUGGUGGGUGGUGGGGGAGUAGAGGGGGGAGGCCGCCACCCACCUCCCCGCCUACUCUCCGCCCUGACUCCACCCAGACUCCGCCUUGGCUCAGCCCAUGUGGUGACUUCAGGAACUACGAUGCCAAAGGGACGACGAAAUUAUUUCUUUGUAUCUGAUCUGUAGCUCAGUGAGUUAAGGAUUUGCCUAUGGAGCUGCAGGUCGCUGGUUCAAGACCAGACCAUUCUUAAAUUUUUAUCAAAAGAUUGACAAAGACAAAGAAAGAAAACUGCCAGUGGCGGGUCUUGAACCUGCGACCUUCCACUUGGUAGUCCUCUUCUUAUCCUCCUGAGCUACUCGCUCAGAUGCUAAUUCUUCUUUUUUUUGCGCAUUUAUCAUCUAUUUUUUGUCGUUUUCGAGUUUUUUUUUUAACUGGAGUCUCGACUCGACCGUUUUUCUCAGGAGGUUGGGCUUCAGCCUUUGUUCUGGAGGGUGGAACCCUCAGUUCCAAGACUUUCCAAAGCCUCCACACCUCCCGAGUCCUCAGGACCUGAGCUUUCACACAGUCUGAGGGCUGAAAUUUUCUAAGUCCCACAGUAGUUCUCUGUUAGAUUGAACCUUCAGACAGUCCAAGGACUGAAAUCUUCUAAGUUUCUGAGUAGUUCUCUGUUAGUUUGAACCUUUCGACAGUCUGAGGACUGAAAACCUCAAAGUUCUUGAGCAGUUCUCUGUUAGUUUGAACCUUCAGACAGUCUGAGGGCUGAAGUUUUAAAAGUUUCUCAGUACUUCUCUGCUAGUUUGAACCUUCAGACACUCUGAGGACUGAAAACCUAAAAGUUAUUGAGUAGUUCUCUGUUAGUUUGAACCUUCAGACAGUCUGAGGACUGAAAUCUUAAAAGUUUCUCAGUACUUCUCUGUUAGUUUGAACUUUCUAGUUAACAGAAGCCUUAAAACUUGUGACCAUGAGUCUUGAUUUCACAUUUAGACCAUCUGAGUUCUUCUCAGACUUUCACCUGUGGGUUUUUUAGAAAUCCUGACCAAACUUUGAUUCUCUUCACUGAACAAUAAAGUUUGUGGAGCUCAGAAGGUAACAUUAGUUUGAUCAAUGCCUUCAACUACUAGUAGACUUUAUCUGGAAAGCAGUUUUCUGAAAUGAGCACUUAGUAAAUCUGUCCACAAUCAAACCAAGAACAUAGAAAGAGGAAAUGUUUGAAGAAACAACUUGAUCUUUUAAUUUCAGACUAGAAAACACUUUAAGGCCUUUUUCUGUUUUUGCUUUUUUGAUCAUUUUAUUGUUUCUUCUGUUUAAUUUGAUCUUCUAAAGUUUAACUGGUGCCCUUUCAGAGGUUUUAUCUUUAGUUUGAUUCUCCUUAAAUGUUUAGUUUUGCUCUUUUCUCACCUUUUAUUCUGUUCUAAUGUCUGAUCUGAUUUCGAAAUGUUUUGUCUUUUUAAUGAUUAAUUAUUGUUUUUUUAAAUGUUUUAUCGGCUUGUUUGAAAAAUUUUGUUUUCUUUCCCAAUGUUUAAUUUUUCGAUUAAAUCUUUA